AUUGAACGCUGGCGGCAGGCUUAACACAUGCAAGUCGAGCGGGGAAGGGUAGCUUGCUACCUAACCUAGCGGCGGACGGGUGAGUAAUGCUUAGGAAUCUGCCAUUUAGUGGGGGACAACAUUCCGAAAGGAAUGCUAAUACCGCAUACGUCCUACGGGAGAAAGCAGGGGAUCUUCGGACCUUGCGCUAAAUGAUGAGCCUAAGUCGGAUUAGCUAGUUGGCGGGGUAAAGGCCUACCAAGGCGACGAUCUGUAGCGGGUCUGAGAGGAUGAUCCGCCACACUGGGACUGGGACACGGCCCAGACUCCUACGGGAGGCAGCAGUGGGGGAUAUUGGACAAUGGGCGGAAGCCUGAUCCAGCCAUGCCGCGUGUGUGAAGAAGGCCUUAUGGUUGUAAAGCACUUUAAGCGAGGAGGAGGCUACUUAGAUUAAUACUCUAGGAUAGUGGACGUUACUCGCAGAAUAAGCACCGGCUAACUCUGUGCCAGCCGCCGCGGUAA
rnacentral:rRNA from 1 species